ACAUUAUAUUAAGUGUUUAAAUUUAAGCAUGAACAUAAUGAAAAAAAAUGGUUUUAAGCAACCCUCAAACGUUGUUUCGGGGCCCCAUGACAGCCAGACGUGCGACCCUUCUGGAGACUGCGCAGAGGCAGCCGGAGGUGCCCCAUUCAUCGAGGCAGCGGGGCGUCCCUCAUUCCUUGAGGUAGCUGUGGCCUCAGUCCUAGAUGGAGGUGUCUGCACCUCGUAUGCCUGAGAUACACCGGGCGCCCACUCCGGGUACUACUUCUUCGGAUAGUGGGUCAUCUGGGGUACAGAUGCCGCCGCCUCAUCUGUUCCUUCCACGGAUGAUACCUGCCUUACCUGCAGUCGAUGGCUCAGGGACGCCGAUUCAUCCACUGCCCCCGCCAGUGGCUCUAUCAGCGGCAUACCGGUUCGUGCCUUUUGAUACGCCUCUUAUUUCUGCGAGGUUAUCAUCAUCGGCAACAGAGACGGAAUCCGUCGCGUCCGCCGCAUCGCCCUCAGGUAAUGAAAGAUGAAUGAUUUGUUUUCUUAUAAUUAAUAAUAAAGGGUCUCCGAUUUUAAUAAUCAAUUUGGUUUAUUAUGUGAUAGGCACCGUCGGAGCAAAGUCGACAAAGAAAAAGAGAGGCCCCAUCACAGGGAAGGCUCUCGAGAAGACCGUCAGUACCUUAGGGAGGAUUCGUCAUCGUUACUGACGGGGAUGGCGACAUAGUAUCGGGCGGGAAGUCGAGAACGUACUCCGGCUGCGUGGGAGCGCUCAUUAGGGAUAGAGUCCCUAUGUUGUGGUCAGACUGGGUCGAGGUCCCGCAGGAGGUUAAGGACAUGGUCCACAACGCGAUAUCGGUGAGUUUACAAAAUGCCUCAAUAAUAUUAUGUAUUACAUUGUUGAUUUCUCGAAAAACUAAACUAAUAAACGGUUAAAUGCAGGUGUGGUUUGAUGUUCCCGAGCACCUGAAGAACAGCUGGGCGGACGUUGUGUAUAGGAGAAGGUACGUUGGGAAGUUAAUGAGAAAACAAAAUUGUAUGUGAUAUUAAUAAUAUUUCUAAUAUUUUUGUUGUAUCUGUAGGUACAAGGAGUGGAAGAACGAGUUGCGGACCCAUUAGACUACGCAUGAGAACGCACGUUCUGGUACCCCUGCUGAGUUCCAGUACAUGGAGUACGAGUGGCGUUGGCUUUUGACAUCAGAAUUAAACAACCCUCGUAAACAGGUAUUUAAAAAAUUAAUUAGUUAAUUUGUCAUUAAGUACGUGCGUUUUUAAAUAUUUUACUAAUAGUUUAUUUUUUUUCUUUAAAGGUCGUUUCCCGGACGAACGCUCAGAACCGACAACGCAACACAAGGAACCAUCGUGCCGGUUCUAGACCGUUCGCUGUCUUCAUGGACGAGGCGGCCAGGGAACAUCC
rnacentral:lncRNA from 1 species